rnacentral:rRNA from 1 species
AUUGAACGCUGGCGGCAGGCCUAACACAUGCAAGUCGAACGAGUGGCGGACGUGUGAGUAAUGUCUGGGACACUGCCUGAUGGAGAGGGAUAACUACUGGAAACGGUAGCUAAUACCGCAUACCAUCGGAUGUGCCCAGAUGGGAUUAGCGAGUAGGUGGGGUAAAGGAUCACCUAGGCGACGAUCCCUAGUGGGUCUGAGAGGAUGACCAGCCACACUGGAACUGAGAAACGGUCCAGACUCCUACGGGAGGCAGCAGUGGGGAAUAUUGCACAAUGGGCGCAAGCCUGAUGCAGCCAUGCCGCGUGUAGGAAGAAGGCCGUCGGGUUGUAAAGUACUUUCAGCUGGGAGGCGUUACCCGAAGAGUAAGCACCGGCUAACUCCGUGCCAGCAGCCGCGGUAAUUC